rnacentral:rRNA from 1 species
UACGAAGGGGCUAGCGUUGCUCGGAAUUACUGGGCGUAAAGCGCACGUAGGCGGAUCUUUAAGUCAGGGGUGAAAUCCUGGAGCUCAACUCCAGAACUGCCUUUGAUACUGAGGACCUUGAGUUCGGGAGAGGUGAGUGGAAUUGCGAGUGUAGAGGUGAAAUUCGUAGAUAUCGAGAAGAACACCGGUGGCGAAGGCGGCCAACUGGACGGUGACUGACACUGAGACGCGAAAGCGUGGGGAGCAAACAGG